rnacentral:rRNA from 1 species
AUUGAACGCUGGCGGCAGGCCUAACACAUGCAAGUCGAGCGGAUGAAGGGAGCUUGCUCCUGGAUUCAGCGGCGGACGGGUGAGUAAUGCCUAGGAAUCUGCCUGGUAGGGGGGGAUAACGUCCGGAAACGGGCGCUAAUACCGCAUACGUCCUGAGGGAGAAAGUGGGGGAUCUUCGGACCUCACGCUAUCAGAUGAGCCUAGGUCGGAUUAGCUAGUUGGUGGGGUAAAGGCCUACCAAGGCGACGAUCCGUAACUGGUCUGAGAGGAUGAUCAGUCACACUGGAACUGCGACACGGUCCAGACUCCUACGGUAGGCAGCAGUGGGGAAUAUUGGACAAUGGGCGAAAGCCUGAUCCAGCCAUGCCGCGUGUGUGAAGAAGGUCUUCGGAUUGUAAAGCCCUUUAAGUUGUGAUGAAGGGCAUUAAGUUAUUACCUUGCUGUUUUGACGUUACCAACAGAAUAAGCACCGGCUAACUUCGUG